rnacentral:rRNA from 1 species
UACGUAGGGCGCAAGCGUUGUCCGGAAUUAUUGGGCGUAAAGAGCUCGUAGGCGGCUCGUCGCGUCGGAUGUGAAAGCCUGGGGCUUAACUCCAGGUCUGCAUUCGAUACGGGCGGGCUAGAGGCAGGUAGGGGAGAACGGAAUUCCCGGUGUAGCGGUGAAAUGCGCAGAUAUCGGGAGGAACACCGGUGGCGAAGGCGGUUCUCUGGGCCUGUACUGACGCUGAGGAGCGAAAGCGUGGGGAGCGAACAGG